GACGAACGCUGGCGGCGUGCCUAAUACAUGCAAGUCGAACGCUGAAGGAGGAGCUCGCUCUUCUGGAUGAGUUGCGAACGGGUGAGUAACGCGUAGGUAACCUGCCUGGUAGCGGGGGAUAACUAUUGGAAACGAUAGCUAAUACCGCAUAAGAGUAGAUGUUGCAUGACAUUUACUUAAAAGGUGCAAUUGCAUCACUACCAGAUGGACCUGCGUUGUAUUAGCUAGUUGGUGGGGUAACGGCUUACCAAGGCGACGAUACAUAGCCGACCUGAGAGGGGGAGCGGCCACACUGGGACUGAGACACGGCCCAGACUCCUACGGGAGGCAGCAGUAGGGAAUCUUCGGCAAUGGACGGAAGUCUGACCGAGCAACGCCGCGUGAGGGAAGAAGGGUGUCGGAUCGUAAAGCUCGGUUGUAAGAGAAGAACGAGUGUGAGAGUGGAAAGUUCACACUGUGACGGUAUCUUACCAGAAAGGGACGGCUAACUACGUG
rnacentral:rRNA from 1 species